rnacentral:rRNA from 1 species
GACGAACGCUGGCGGCGUGCUUAACACAUGCAAGUCGAACGGAAAGGCCCUGCUUUUGUGGGGUUCUCGAUUGGCGAACGGGUGAGUAACACGUGAGUAACCUGCCCUUAACUUUGGGAUAACUUCAGGAAACUGGGGCUAAUACCGGAUAGGAGCUCCUGCUGCGUGGGGGGGGUUGGAAAGUUUCGGCGGUUGGGGAUGUAAUCGCUGCUUAUCAGCUUGUUUGUCGGGUAGUGGCAUACCAAGGCUUUGACGGGUAGCCGGCCUGAGAGGGUGAACGGCCACAUUGGGCCUGAGAUACGGCCCAGACUCCUACGGGACGCAGCAGUGGGGAACAUUGCACAAUGGGCGGACGCCUGAUGCAGAGACGCCGCGUGCGGGAUGCCGGCCUUCGGGUUGUAAACCGCUUUCGCAUGUGCCGAAGCGUGAGUGACGGUAAUGGGUAAAGAAGCACCGGCUAACUACGUG